AUUGAACGCUGGCGGCAGGCCUAACACAUGCAAGUCGAACGAGUGGCGGACGGGUGAGUAAUGUCUGGGAAACUGCCCGAUGGAGGGGGAUAACUACUGGAAACGGUAGCUAAUACCGCAUACCAUCGGAUGUGCCCAGAUGGGAUUUGCUUGUGGGUGGGGUAACGGCUUACCUAGGCGACGAUCCCUAGCGGGUCUGAGAGGAGGACCAGCCACACUGGAACUGAGACACGGUCCAGACUCCUACGGGAGGCAGCAGUGGGGAAUAUUGGACAAUGGGCGCAAGCCUGAUGCAGCCAUGCCGCGUGUAUGAAGAAGGCCUUCGGGUUGUAAAGUACUUUCAGCGAGGAGGCGUUACUCGCAGAAGAAGCACCGGCUAACUCCGUGCCAGCAGCCGCGGUAAUUG
rnacentral:rRNA from 1 species